UACGGGGGGAGCAAGCGUUGUUCGGAUUUACUGGGCGUAAAGGGCGCGUAGGCGGCCACCGCAAGUCAGUUGUGAAAGCUCUGGGCUUAACCCAGAAAGGUCAACUGAUACUGCGGGGCUAGAGUGCAGAAGGGGCAACUGGAAUUCUCGGUGUAGCGGUGAAAUGCGUAGAUAUCGAGAGGAACACCUGCGGCGAAGGCGGGUUGCUGGGCUGACACUGACGCUGAGGCGCGAAAGCGUGGGGAGCAAACGGG
rnacentral:rRNA from 1 species